rnacentral:rRNA from 1 species
AGCGAACGCUGGCGGCAGGCCUAACACAUGCAAGUCGAACGGAUCCUUCGGGAUUAGUGGCGGACGGGUGAGUAACACGUGGGAACGUGCCCUUUGGUUCGGAACAACUCAGGGAAACUUGAGCUAAUACCGGAUGUGCCCUUCGGGGGAAAGAUUUAUCGCCAUUGGAGCGGCCCGCGUCUGAUUAGCUAGUUGGUGAGGUAACGGCCCACCAAGGCGACGAUCAGUAGCUGGUCUGAGAGGAUGAUCAGCCACACUGGGACUGAGACACGGCCCAGACUCCUACGGGAGGCAGCAGUGGGGAAUCUUGCGCAAUGGGCGAAAGCCUGACGCAGCCAUGCCGCGUGAAUGAUGAAGGUCUUAGGAUUGUAAAAUUCUUUCAGCGGGGACGAUAAUGACGGUGCCCGCAGAAGAAGCUCCGGCUAACUUCGUG